ensembl:lncRNA
GAGGAGAGGAGAGAGAGAGAGGAGAGAGGAGAGGAGAGGAGAGGAGAGGAGGAGAAUCCCAGGUAGAGGGCAGGACACUGGAGGCUGAGGAGGAGAGGAGAGGAGGAGGGAGGAGAGCUCUGGGGCCAUCCCAGGUAGAGGGCAGGAUACUGGAGGCUGAGGAGGAGAUGAGAGGGGGAGAAGCGGAGAGGAGAGGAGGAGAGGAGAAGAGGAGAGGAGGAGAGCUCUGGUGCUAUCCCAGGUAGAGGGCAGGAUACUGGAGGCUGAGGAGGAGAGGAGAGGGGGAGAAGCGGAGAGGAGAGGAGGAGAGGAGAAGAGGAGAAGAUGAGAGGAGGAGAGCUCUGGUGCUAUCCCAGGUAGAGGGAAGGACACUGGAGGCUGAGGAGGAGAGGAGAGGAGGGAGGAGGAGAGCUCUGCUGCUAUCCCAGGUAGAGGGCAGGAUACUGGAGGCUGAGGAGGAAAGGAGAGGAGAGGAGAGGAGAGGAGAGGAGAGGAGAGGAGAGGAGAGGAGAGGAGAGGAGAGGAGAAUCCCAGGUAGAGGGCAGGAUACUGGAGGCUGAGGAGGAGAGGAGAGGAGAGGAGGAGAGCUCUGCUGCCAUCCCAGGUAGAGGGCAGGAUACUGGAUGCUUGCAUGAAGCAGGAAUAUGGUGCAAUGCUGUGUCCCAAAACUAGCUGGACCCCUGCCUGCUUCUCUAUCUGUGGUGUCAUUUACUGUAUGAAGCUUUGGUCUGCAUGUCACGGAGACACUCAUCCUAUAAUAGAGGUCAUGGAGACACUCAUCCCAUCAUAGAGGUCAUGGAGACACUCAUCCCAUAAUAGAGGUCAUGGAGACACUCAUCCCAUAAUAGAGGUCACGGAGACACUCAUCCCAUAAGAGGUCACGGAGACACUCAUCCCAUAAUAGAGGUCACGGAGACACUCAUCCCAUAAUACAGGUUGCCUUUGACAACAGUCUCUCUUGCCAUACAUUCAUUUACAGAGAACAAUAUUUCCCCUUUGUGUGAUUAUUACUAAAUGUAAUGACGUGAAAUGUCCCCCAGCCUGUCUGUCCCAGCGAGGUAUAGAGGGAGAUCUGCUGCUGUUUACACUGCCUUCACAAUCCACGGGUCAAAUCCCUCCCCAAGCGCUACUUUCCCCCCACCCUAUUGUUCCUAUAGAUAGUCCUUCAGGAGAACAGCCCGGUGGGUUGGGGGAUAUUGUUAGGUUGAAGAUACCCAGGUUAGGACAACAGGGAAAUAACAUCCCACAACUCAGACUGUUAGAGGGUUAGAGGCUAGGAGGCAACAAGUUAUACAGGAAGGAGUUGUCUUGUUUGAGGGCGGGUUAGAGGCCAGAGGAGGCUUCCAGAGGAGGCUACACAGGAAGGUGAUGUCUUGUUUAAAGCAUUGUUAAAGUCUCAGACAGGAGAUAUCUGUUAGGAAACAGUGUUUUCAACCUGAAUGGGUAACAGAGGAGAGGCAGAGAGCAGUGUGCUGAGGGUGGAGAGGGGUAGAGAGGGGUAGAGAGGGGUAGAGAGGGGAGGCAGGGGGUAGAGAGGGGAGGCAGGGGGUAGAGAGGGGUAGAGAGGGGAGGCAGGGGGUAGAGAAGGAGGUAGAGAGGGGUAGAGAAGGGGGUCGGGAGGGGAGGCAGGGGGUAGAGAGAGGUAGAGAAGGGGGUAGAGAGGGGAGGCAGGGGGUAGAGAGAGGUAGAGAAGGUGGUAGAGAGGGGAGGCAGGGAGUAGAGAGAGGUAGAGAAGGGGGUAGAGAGGGGUAGAGAAGGGGAGGCAGGGGAUAGAGAGGGGUAGAGAGGGGUAGAGAGGGGAGGCAGGGGGUAGAGAGAGGUAGAGAAGGGUAGAGAGGGGAGGCAAGGGGUAGAGAGGGGUAGAGAAGGGGGUAGAGAGGGGAGGCAGGGGGUAGAGAGGGGUAGAGAAGGGUAGAGAAGGGGAGACAGGGGAUAGAGAGGGGUAGAGAAGGGUAGAGAGGGGAGGCAGGGGGUAGAGAGGGGGUAGAGAAGGG